rnacentral:rRNA from 1 species
CAGCCGCCGCGGUAAUAUGUAGGGGGCGAGCGUUGUCCGAAGUUACUGGGCGUAAAGCGCGCGUAGGCGGCUUCUUAAGUCUGAGGUGAAAGGUUCAACGCUUAACGUGAACAGUGCCUUGGAUACUGGGGAGCUUGAGUAUGGGAGAGGGCAGUGGAAUGGCUGGUGUAGCGGUGAAAUGCGUAGAUAUCAGUCGGAACACCCAUGGCGAAGGCAGCUGCCUGGCCUAAUACUGACGCUGAGGUGCGAAAGCGUGGGGAGCGAACGGGAUUAGAUACCCGUGUAGUCCCUGUCUCUUAUA